rnacentral:rRNA from 1 species
GACAGAUGAGAAGCUUGCUUCUCUGAUGUUAGCGGCGGUUGGGUGAGUAACACGUGGGAUAACCUACCUAUAAGACUGGGAUAACUCCGGGAAACCGGGGCUAAUACCGGAUAAUAUUUUGAACCGCAUGGUUCAAUAGUGAAAGACGGUUUCGGCUGUCACUUAUAGAUGGACCCGCGCCGUAUUAUCUAGUUGGUAAGGUAACGGCUUACCAAGGCGACGAUACUUACCCGACCUGAGAGGGUGAUCGGACACACUGGAACUGAGACACGCUCCAGACUCCUACGGGAGGCAGCAGUAGGGAAUCUUCCGCAAUGGGCGAAAGCCUGACGGAGCAACGCCGCGUGAGUGAUGAAGGUCUUCGGAUCGUAAAACUCUGUUGUUAGGGAAGAACAUAUUUGUUAGUAACUGAACAAGUCUUGACGGUACCUAACCAGAAAGCCACGGCUAACCACGUGCCAACAGCCGCGGUAAUACGUACGUGGCAAGCGUUAUCCGGAUUUAUUGGGCGUAAAGCGCGCGUAGGCGGUUUCUUAAGUCUGAUGUGAAAGCCCACGG